CACCUAGCCAAAGCUCCUACUCUCAUCCCCGUUUAUCGUUUCAUUUUGUGCCUGUCCUGUGAUCGGGCCACAAAGGAAAAGGUGGUUUGAUCCCGAGGGAGAAUAGAAGAGACGGGCUCAAAGCACCAUUUUUUACCAUGGGGAGCACCUGUACGGCCCGCGGGUUCAAGUAGCACCUUCUCUCUCCUUCUGCUCCCAUAAAUCCUUCUCCCCCUCGCCCAUUCCUCCCAGCAUCAUCGUCGUUCCUUGCCUUUCUUAUUUUCACCUCAUUCUUUUGUCUCCUCCGCACAAAGACAGAAUCCUCCUUUCCGGUAAUCUGAUGUUGUUCUUCGGAUCUAGUUUUAGAUCACCUUCUUAGAUCCGUUGUAGCUCUUCCACUGCCUCAAGCAACAAGGUAGAUAUUGAUGCCCAAAUCCUGCUCGACAAUGAAGGUCUAGAGAGCGCUGAUCAACCUGCAUACAAGGCGAAAGAGGAGCAAAGAAGAUGAGGAGGGCCCUAAUUGGUCUGUUGUGGUGGAAGACGGAGCGUCAAUCUACCGUAGAGAGUCGUUGAUCUGCACACAAAAUAAAAGAUAAAAGCUUAAUAGAUUGGAUAGAUUGGCUACGCUCCGAUGCCUAAGUCAGACAUGGAGAACAAUAUGAGAAAAGAGAGUAUAGUGUAGAGUAACCUAUGUCUCUUGCAUCCUUGGGAUCUUGAGCUCUUUUAUAGAUGAAAAGUCCUUGUCCCAUUCAAAGUUAGAGCUCAAGUGGGAGAUUACCCCUUGACUUUCUGAAUCGGCCCGAAAAUCAAAGUUCCACUAAAAUUGGCCUCCUGCUAGGUCAUGUAUCGGCCCAUGAUAGAUAGGUUAAAUUAGGCCAUAUCAGUAGAUAUUAGUAUUUCCAUCCCCGGUUUCUCCUUUUUUUUUCUCUUGUUUCUCGCUUCCACAGGAAUGAGUGUGCAUGCACACCAGUUCGGUUCUUUGCAAUUUUGUCGAUGCAGAGGUCUGGAAGUGGGUGGUUUGAGACCUUGUUGAAUAGCCAUGUUAAUGUUAGCUCUAAUGGUGAGAUCUUCUCUGUCAAAGAAAGACGGAAUAAUAUUUCUUCUAUCAUGCACACAUUAGAUAAAGUUUACAAUCUGAACUGGUAUAGUAGUGCUUCUAAAAAUGAAUGCACAGCUGCUGUUGGCUUCAAAUGGAUGCUUAAUCAGGCAUAUGAAGGCAUGUGGUGGAUUAUUGAACUAGAGAUGCAUCAGCAUCUUGGUGCAACAGGAAUUUUGCAGCAAACUUGUGACCUGCUGUUUUGAUGGUGUUAGCAGCCAUCCAUUGGAGCUGUUGGACUGAGCGAAAUGCCAGAAUCUUCCUCAAAAAAUCUUGUUCCUUGGCUUUGGUGGCUUGGAAAGGGAUUAAUCUUUUUCAUGCUUGGUCAAUUCUGUGCAGUGAAAAGGCUCUCCCGGGCUUUACCAAACUAGCUGGGACGGUUCGCAGCAUUCACUUUUAUGAUCUGGAGGAUCCUUGAAUUCUUUAUCCUGAUGCUUUUCUUCUCUUGGCUGGGACAAAGUUGCUGCUUCCACUGCUAAUUUCGAUACAUCAUUCAGGCUGCUGUGAGUCAGUUUUUCUCCAUCUGCACAGACAGCUGCUUUUUCUCUUGCUGCCCCUCCAUAGGCUGUGAUGAUCAGAAGGCUUCUUAUGUCUUGGGUUUUUUAUUCCUGUCGCCCUCGAUCAUCUCUCUGCUGAAGACUAUGAUGGAGAAUUUCGCAGCAUUGUGAUCAUCUAUGGUUCCUUUUUCUUGCCGCAUUCUGGUGCACUAAGAUGCUUUUCUUCUGAGUCUCCUUUUGCCUACAACCAUGAAGAAGUGUUUUUUCUUUGGAAUUUCUUAGAAGCAGCAGUUUUUAUUUCCUUUAAGCUUGUAUAUUCCUCUAUUAUCUUCGUCUCUUAUAUGGUGUAACUUAUAUUCUGUGUACAUUCUUCUCCUCCUUUAUUUCUGAAUAAAAUUGGUGACUAAUGAGGAUUAAACCCAUUAGCUUCCAUCA